GAUGAACGCUGGCGGCGUGCCUAAUACAUGCAAGUCGAGCGAACGGACGAGAAGCUUGCUUCUCUGAUGUUAGCGGCGGACGGGUGAGUAACACGUGGAUAACCUACCUAUAAGACUGGGAUAACUUCGGGAAACCGGAGCUAAUACCGGACAAUAUUUUGAACCGCAUGGUUCAAAAGUGAAAGACGGUCUUGCUGUCACUUAUAGAUGGAUCCGCGCUGCAUUAGCUAGUUGGUAAGGUAACGGCUUACCAAGGCAACGAUGCAUAGCCGACCUGAGAGGGUAAUAGGCCACACUACAACUUAAACACGGUCCAGACUCCUACGGGAGGCAGCAGUAGGGAAUCUUCCGCAAUGGGCGCAAGCCUGACGGAGCAACGCCGCGUGAGUGAUGAAGGUCUUCGGAUCGUAAAACUCUGUUAUUAGGGAAGAACAUAUGUGUAAGUAACUGUGCACAUCUUGACGGUACCUAAUCAGAAAGCCACGGCUAACUACGUG
rnacentral:rRNA from 1 species